rnacentral:piRNA from 1 species
UAACAGAUUUGGGACCAGCAGAA